AGCGAACGCUGGCGGCAGGCUUAACACAUGCAAGUCGAACGCCAUCUUCGGAUGGAGUGGCAGACGGGUGAGUAACGCGUGGGAACGUACCCUUUGGUUCGGAAUAUUCUCGGGAAACUGGGAGCAAUACCGGAUAAGCCCUACGGGGGGAAANAUUUAUCGCCAAAGGAGCGGCCCGCGUCAGAUUAGGUAGUUGGUGGGGUAAAGGCCUACCAAGCCUACGAUCUGUAGCUGGUCUGAGAGGAUGAUCAGCCACACUGGGACUGAGACACGGCCCAGACUCCUACGGGAGGCAGCAGUGGGGAAUUUUGGACAAUGGGCGCAAGCCUGAUCCAGCAAUGCCGCGUGCAGGAAGAAGGCCUCGGUUGUAACUGCUUUGUACGGUAACGGAAACGGUACGUGGGCGUAAU
rnacentral:rRNA from 1 species